GCUCGUAGUUGGAUUUCUGGGAGGCGCCAAUGUCCGCUCGUUCGCGUGUGCAGCGGCGCCCUUCCUCCUUCUGUUAACGCUUCUUGGUAUUCAGUUACUGGUAGCGGGCUCAGAUAUUUUACCUUGAGAAAAUUAGAGUGUUCCAGGCAGGCUUGCGCCGGGAAUACAUUAGCAUGGAAUAAUAGAAUAGGACUUUAGUCUCCUUUGUUGGUUUGAGGGACUGAAGUAAUGAUUAAUAGGGAUAGUUGGGGGCAUUAGUAUUUAAUUGUCAGAGGUGAAAUUCUCGGAUUUGUUAAAGACUAACUUAUGCGAAAGCAUUUCCAAGGAUGUUUUCAUUAAAUCAAGAACGAAAGUUAGGGGGAUCAAAAGACGAUCAGAUACCGUCCUAGUCUAACCCAUAAAACUAUGCCGACAAGGGACCGAGGCGCGCUUUAAUCCGGCUUCGGGACCUUAUGAGAAACCAAAGUCUUUGGGGUUCUGGGGGGGAGUAGGGCCCCAAGGUGGAAAACUUAAGGAAAUGGACGAAGGGCCCCCACCGGGAGUGGAGUUGCGGCUCAUUUUGACUCACACGGGGAAAACUU
rnacentral:rRNA from 1 species